rnacentral:rRNA from 1 species
GUGCCAGCAGCCGCGGUAAUACGGAAGGUCCUGGUGUUAUCCGGAUUUAUUGGGUUUAAAGGGAGCGUAGGCGNCCGAUUAAGCGUGCUGUGAAAUGGCGGGGCCCAACCCCGUCCCUGCAGCGCGAACUGGUUGGCUUGGGUACACGCAAGGCAGGCGGAAUUUGUGGUGUAGCGGUGAAAUGCUUAGAUAUCACGAAGAACCCCGAUUGCGAAGGCAGCUUGCGGAGUGUUACCGACGCUGAAGCUCGAAGGUGCGGGUAUCGAACAGGAUUAGAUACCCUGGUAGUCCGCACGGUAAACGAUGGAUGCUCGCCGUCUGCGAUACAAUGCAGGUGGCCAAGCGAAAGCAUUAAGCAUCCCACCUGGGGAGUACGCCGGCAACGGUGAAACUCAAAGGAAUUGACGGGGGCCCGCACAAGCGGAGGAACAUGUGGUUUAAUUCGAUGAUACGCGAGGAACCUUACCCGGGCUUGAAUUGCAGAGGAAAGAAUCCAGAGAUGGUGAUGCACUUCGGGGUCUCUGUGAAGGUGCUGCAUGGUUGUCGUCAGCUCGUGCCGUGAGGUGUCGGCUUAAGUGCCAUAACGAGCGCAACCCUUGCCGUCAGUUGCCAUCGGGUAAUGCCGGGCACUCUGUCGGGACUGCCACCGCAAGGUGUGAGGAAGGUGGGGAUGACGUCAAAUCAGCACGGCCCUUACGUCCGGGGCUACACACGUGUUACAAUGGGUGGUACAGAAGGCUGCCUUGCGCAAGCAGUGGCUAAUCCCAAAAUCCAUCCUCAGUUCGGAUUGGGUCUGCAACCCGACCCCAUGAAGCUGGAUUCGCUAGUAAUCGCGCAUCAGCCAUGGCGCGGUGAAUACGUUCCCGGGCCUUGCACACACCGCCCGU